UACGGAGGGAGCUAGCGUUGUUCGGAAUUACUGGGCGUAAAGCGCGCGUAGGCGGCUUUGCAAGUUAGAGGUGAAAGCCCGGGGCUCAACCCCGGAAUUGCCUUUAAGACUGCAUCGCUAGAAUCCAGGAGAGGUGAGUGGAAUUCCGAGUGUAGAGGUGAAAUUCGUAGAUAUUCGGAAGAACACCAGUGGCGAAGGCGGCUCACUGGACCGGAAUUGACGCUGAGGUGCGAAAGCGUGGGGAGCAAACAGG
rnacentral:rRNA from 1 species